AGUGAUGAGUGUCACUCCGGUGAUUAAGACACCUGUGACAAAUAGAAACUACAGGCUCCUGGUCGCCGGUAGGAACAUCUCCAUCAAAUCCGGUACACGUCUUAUGAUCCUGAAGGCACAUAACGCUGCCUUUUUCUUAAUAUAGGCGUUGGGUGAUUUGAUCAGCCUCUCCACUUCUGAGGCGAGGUCUCUCGCCAUUUCCGGUGAAGCGAUUGCACCCAACGUGCACAGCGCUAGACCGACUACGAACUGUGUGUUGCUGUUAAGGUCACUGUUGGGCAAGACAUUUUCAUAAUUAAUAAAUGCUUUUUACUAUUUCUAAUAAAGUAAUUUGCAAA